GCCCAGGCGCAGUGGUUAGACCACUGGUCUUGUAAACCAGGGGUUUGUGAGUUCGAUCCUCGCUGGGGCC
rnacentral:tRNA from 1 species